UACGUAGGGUGCGAGCGUUGUCCGGAAUUAUUGGGCGUAAAGAGCUUGUAGGCGGUUUGUCGCGUCUGCUGUGAAAAUCCGGGGCUCAACCCCGGACUUGCAGUGGGUACGGGCAGACUAGAGUGUGGUAGGGGAGACUGGAAUUCCUGGUGUAGCGGUGAAAUGCGCAGAUAUCAGGAGGAACACCGGUGGCGAAGGCGGCAUCCUGGACCGAUACUGACGCUGAGGAGCGAAAGCCAGGGGAGCAAACGGG
rnacentral:rRNA from 1 species